rnacentral:rRNA from 1 species
UACGGAGGGAGCUAGCGUUGUUCGGAUAUACUGGGCGUAAAGCGCACGUAGGCGGCGCCGUAAGUCAGGGGUGAAAGCCCGGAGCUCAACUCCGGAAUAGCCUUUGAGACUGGGAGACUUGAAUCCAGGAGAGGCGAGUGGAAUUCCGAGUGUAGAGGUGAAAUUCGUAGAUAUUCGGAAGAACACCAGUGGCGAAGGCGACUCGCUGGACAAGUAUUGACGCUGAGGUGCGAAAGCGUGGGGAGCAAACAGG